rnacentral:tRNA from 1 species
CAGAAAAUAGUUUAAUUUAUAAUUCUGGCUUUGGGUGUCAGAGGUGGGAGUUGGAGUCUCUCUUUUCUGG